UCCUACAAGCUUUCAUGAAUUAAUUGAGGCUAGAAUUGCCAUCAUUCUCUGCUCUUCUUUCCAGUUCUGUGAGUUGAAACAUUGCCACUCUCCUUAGCCACUAUAAAUUAGUAGAACUGGAGUGCAUCCAAAUACUAGUAAAACAUGUAUCUUGGCGUUUAAAAAGUACCUGGAGCUGCGUAAUUGGUUGUUGUCAUUUAGGUGAAGUUUCAGUUUGUAUUAAUUUGAUAAAAUUGCAGAGAUUACCUAUUGUCUUGAUAAAACGAAAUAUUGCUGGAUGAUUACUACCUCAAGUGAUUGAAGAGUGGCUUACUCAUCUUAUUAUUAUUAUUAUUAUUAUUAUUAUUAUUAUUAUUAUUAUUAUUAUUAUUAUUAC
rnacentral:lncRNA from 1 species